rnacentral:sRNA from 1 species
UCUAUUGCUGCUAUUUAAUUCUCUUAUCUUCCCCCUGAGAUAUUUUUACGUACUACUCGUAGCUGUUAUAAUUGCAUCCUUCAUAUAUAGUUUUGGUCCUUUCUCUGUUUUGAGCUGUACACCGGGGAGGAAGUGGCUCUUACCUACGAACCAAACAGAAGGCUCCAGGGAGAUUAAACCAUUUAAUGUUGAGAUGCUCCAUGCUAUUACUUUUUUUUUUUAAUGUUUUGGUAAGUUUAAAGACUUUUUCAAUAAAAUUUCUCCAUGAGAGGAGCAGCUUUUCUAACCAUAUAUGUGACGGGGCAUUUAUUUCUGCUUGAAUCUUCUCUGACAAGAAAAAACCUCCCCACGGUCUUCCUUUAUCAAAGAUUCGAGGUCCGCGUGGACAGUUGUUUUUAAGAAAACUGCUGUAUGCUGAAGAAGGUACCGAAAGAUGCUAUCUAGCAUUGGAUCCAUUUCCCAUUUGAGCUGUCAUAAACUCAUAACCUUCCAUGCAAGUUAAGCAGAGGAAGCUGCAGUACUGUGAUUGGACUCUAGAUACCUUUCUAUUUGAAGGGGAGUGCUGCUGUGUUAAUGGAGUCCAGUUAACAAGCUGAUAAUGCACAGCACCAUGACAUGGAAAAGAUAUAUUAAACAUCCUUGGACCACUCACUCGGUCAAGAUCAGCUUGGGCACAUAAAGUGGUUUCUUGACUGCUUUUCUUGUUAUAUUGAUGGGCACCAGGACCAGCAUGAUAUCUUCCCCAAGAUUGCAGCAGCCCACUUCAGCUUCCUUUGUCAGCUUGACCAGAGCUUCCUGAACGAGGGUUGUGCAAUGUAGCACCAUAAGGCAGAAGGGGGGGGGGGGGUUUCUCUGACAUUGAAGCCUGCAAUAUUUAUCAAGACAUGGUCUCAGAAGAUGCCCUUUUGGAUGACCUUGAAGAUAAAGCCUGAACCCUUUCCAUCUCUUGGAACAAGAGAAAUACUGUAGUUAUGAGAACCUGGAUUGCUUAUCUCGGUAGAUUGAUAUUUUUGUAUCUCUUAAGGAGCUAUAAAAUUGUUUAUCAUUCCCAUCCCAGGGGUGUUGGCCAGGCUCA